UAAUAUGCCCCAUCGAUUGACGUUACCCGCAGAAGAAGCACCGGCUAACUCCGUGCCAGCAGCCGCGGUAAUACGGAGGGUGCGAGCGUUAAUCGGAAUUACUGGGCGUAAAGCGUACGCAGGCGGUCUGUUAAGUCAGAUGUGAAAUCCCCGGGCUCAACCUGGGAACUGCAUUUGAAACUGGCAGGCUAGAGUCUCGUAGAGGGGGGUAGAAUUCCAGGUGUAGCGGUGAAAUGCGUAGAGAUCUGGAGGAAUACCGGUGGCGAAGGCGGCCCCCUGGACGAAGACUGACGCUCAGGUACGAAAGCGUGGGGAGCAAACAGGAUUAGAUACCCUGGUAGUCCACGCUGUAAACGAUGUCGAUUUGAAGGUUGUGGCCUUGAGCCGUGGCUUUCGGAGCUAACGCGUUAAAUCGACCGCCUGGGGAGUACGGCCGCAAGGUUAAAACUCAAAUGAAUUGACGGGGGCCCGCACAAGCGGUGGAGCAUGUGGUUUAAUUCGAUGCAACGCGAAGAACCUUACCUACUCUUGACAUCCAAAGAACUUGGCAGACAUGCCUUGGUGCCUUCGG
rnacentral:rRNA from 1 species